GGAAGGAUCAUUAACACGUAUCCACGUAUCACCCAAUGUGCACCUGUUUUCUAUCUCCCUAUCUGAUGACAUGAAUUGGCAUUAGCGAGUUGUCGAGCAUUGAAUGGGAUCGUAUUUUGAUCACUCGACUUCACGUGACAUGAGAGCCGCUUGCGGCUUGAUAACAAUUGGAGUUUUCAGAUGGGCAAUUCUUUACUACUGUAACCUCGCCGUUCAAGAGGGGAGUAGUAAGGAGACAACACUAUUCACCUAUUUCACACCCUUUUUGCUAGUUGACUUUUAUAUGUUGUCUUCGAUGUACCCUUCAUUGGUGUAUGUUGUCGUCACACGUUUAAUUACUUUGAACGUUAAAAAUACAACUCUUAGCAAUGGAUAUCUUGGUUCUCGCAACGAUGAAAGAACGCAGCGAAAUGCGAUACGUAAUGCGAAUUGCAGAAUUCAGUGAAUCAUCAAAUCUUUGAACGCAAAUUGCGCUCUUGGGUAGCCCCUAGGAGCACGCCUCUCUCAGUAUCGGUUCAACCACCGCUCAGCCAGCGUCUUGACGUGUAGUGCUGGAGAAUGAGAGUCGAUUGAUCUCGCAUCGGUCGUCUCUUUAAGUACAUGGAGUGAGAAUACUUGAACUGUCCAAUUCGAUUCUUCGGAAUCGAUAGUCCGUCUCGAACGGCCAGCUAAGAGUGACGUGAAAAAUGACCUUAUGGUCCGCUUUCUACGUGUAUCUUUUAGAAGGCUUUCCAAGUUUAGGAUGGGUGAACGACAGUUGAAGCUCUCAUGUAUCGUGGCAUUGUUUACUCAUAUGCUACAAUCGAUUUGUGAAUCAAUUCUAAACCAUUGACCAUAAGUCUGAAUUUUGAUCUGAGAUGAAGCGAGACAACCCCCUGAAUUUAAGCAUAUUAAUAAGGGGAGGAAAAGAAACUAACAAGGAUUCCCUUAGUAACGGCGAGUGAAGCGGGAAGAGCUCAAUUUUGAAAAUCGAUUACCUAAGCGGGUCAUCGAAUUGUAGCCUAUAGACGUACUAUCAGCUGAGACCUGGGUAUAAGUUCUUGGAAUGAGGCAUCAUAGAGGGUGAGAAUCCCGUAUAUGACCCAAGCUCUCAGCGUACGAUGUAUGUUCCUCGAGUCGAGUUGUUUGGGAUUGCAGCUCUAAAUGGGUGGUAAGUUUCAUCUAAAGCUAAAUAUUGGCGAGAGACCGAUAGCGAACAAGUACCGUGAGGGAAAGAUGAAAAGACUUUGAAAAGAGAGUUAAAAGUACUUGAAAUUGCUAAGAGGGAAGCGCUGAGCAGCAGUGCUAUGCGCCGGUCAUCGCUUUCGGCCCCACUAGUUGUUGUAUGCAGUUGGAAACUCUGCUAGCAGCACCGAAAGGGAGGUCGGAGGUUCAGGCCGGUGUGUCAGUCAAGAUCCGUUCGGUGAGUUGGAGAAGGCCGCGAGAAAGGUAGGAGAUCCGUCUCUGUUAUAGUCUCGUUGCUCUACCUCGCGCUGGACGGAGGAAGGAAUAGUGCGCCGCUUGCGGCUUGGCCCCUCGUUCCUGUAGUGGCCCGUGUUACUCAUUGCAAUGCCUUGUGUGAUGCGGUUUCGCUAUACUGUGCGGGAGGGUUCUAUGUGCUAUCACGAUCUUGUACGAAAUGCUGCUCAUCGACCCGUCUUGAAACACGGACCAAGGAGUCUAACAUCUAUGCGAGUAUUUGGGUGACAAACCCUGAUGCGCAAUGAAAGUAAAGGCAGUUUCGGCGCUGAGGUAGGAAUCCGGUCAACGGAGGCACUAUCGACCGAUCAUCACUUGUGAAAGAUUUGAGUAAGAGCAUAUCUGUUGGGACCCGAAAGAUGGUGAUCUAUGCCUGAACAGGGUGAAGCCAGGGAAACUCUGGUGGAGGCUCGUAGCGAUACUGACGUGCAAAUCGUUCGUCUGAUUUGGGUAUAGGGGCGAAAGACUAAUCGAACCAUCUAGUAGCUGGUUCCCUC
rnacentral:misc_RNA from 1 species